rnacentral:lncRNA from 1 species
CAAUUUACCAAAAACAGUAGCCAGCCACUUAAAUGAACAUGGCCAUAUAUUCGAUGAAGCAAGGCUCUAUAUACUAAUAACAAAUUUCUGUUCACCUCGCAAGAGGAAAUAUACAGAAUCCUACCUCAUACACAAGUUUAAAUGCCUGCACCCGACA